AACGAACGCUGGCGGCAGGCUUAACACAUGCAAGUCGAACGCAUCCUUCGGGAUGAGUGGCAGACGGGUGAGUAACGCGUGGGAACGUGCCCUUUAGUUUGGAAUAACCCAGGGAAACUUGGGCUAAUACCGGAUACGCCCGAAAGGGGAAAGAUUUAUCGCUGAAGGAGCGGCCCGCGUCUGAUUAGCUAGUUGGUGAGGUAAUGGCUCACCAAGGCGACGAUCAGUAGCUGGUCNGAGAGGAUGAUCAGCCACACUGGGACUGAGACACGGCCCAGACUCCUACGGGAGGGCAGCAGUGGGGAAUCUUGCGCAAUGGCCUAACGGCUGACGCAGCGACGCCGCGUGUGGGACGAAGUCCUUCGGUA
rnacentral:rRNA from 1 species